UUCGAGCCUCUUUCUUAUUUCAAGGUAUGCCAUUAACAGAAUAGUGAGUCUAGACCAACGAGCACAUCCCUAAUGAUAAGAAGAGAAGGGUUUUGCAACAAUUUAUAUGUACAAUUUAAAUAAAAUAAAAGUGGUAAAAAAUAUUAUUUUGCACAUUAAGCCAAUUCAUGUAAAAAUAUCAAAGCCAAAUACAACAAUUAUUCUAUGCUCGAAUUCUUGAACCUUGAACCAAAAGUUCUGGGUUCAUGUCCCCAGCAGCUUCGUCAGAGUUGUCACAUCCUUUUUCACUACACCCUGUAAAGGCAUAGAAGAGUUUUUCCAAUUAAAGGAUAAUCAAAACGGGAUUAUAUUAAAAGAUUCAGAGUCGCCACUUGAGAGAUUUAUGGUGUCUUAAGUCAUCGGUUGAAUCCCGAAUCGAGGAAAAAAUUGACUCUAUAUUACAGUCCGCGAACCAGAAAUCCGAGUAAGGAAUUCAGUUAACCCGGGAGAAGAUGUUAGGCAUUUCUGGGUUCCGUGGUUCUAGCACGGUCACUCAACUGUUAUACUUGGAUUUAUCUGAUUUCAAAACAUGUUUUAACUUAUGUGCUUUUAAACUUGAACCACUUUUAUUAUUAUUUAUAAAGAGAAUUGCAACGUCGUGAGAAUGUAUUCGAACCACGUCACAUAAAUGCACUUGUAGUUUUUAACACAUUCUGAUUCCUUUGAGAUUUGAAUUUGUGUCACAUAAAUGCGCACCCGAGUUUAGAAAAGUAAUGUUAUUAAAACACGCGCCUAAAGAGACUAACACGUUAUUAUCUUUUGGGAGGGCCGUAAAAUUCGCUAAAGGUUCCAUCCUGAAUUCUAAGUAUUUUUAAUACAACCAAUUUAUCGAGGGCCCCGCGAUUUGUGCGUUUUAUUUGGCGAUGCUCAUCUCAUUUAUUAUUUAAAGAGGAAAUCUAGAACAAUCUAUAAUUUUUUACUUAAUUUAUAUCUAGUAAUAAAGAAGUAGUCCUAAUUAAUUAAUGUAUUUGAAAUGACCAAAUUCUCACAAUUCAAUCUCAACUCAACUAAGCUUAAUAACAUGAUAAGUAACAAACAAAGCAUUGUUAACAAUUUGUUCAAAACAACCAAGAUUGUAUUUUUAUAAAAUUAACUAGAUAGUUAUAUGCCUGGGCCUAGGCCCUGUACAUAUGCAACAGAAGGGGGCCUGGGCCACUCAAUAAGGAAGUGAAUCCUCCACUUCAUGUAAAUGGGAUAUUUAUCCCAAACCGUCAUACUAAACCAGGCCUAAAUUCGGUUUGCUCAAUUAUUCACUAAAAUUUCCUUCAAGUUAUUCAAGGUGCUACUCAAAUUAAUGAAACACUAAUCACUCAAGUUCCAAUUUAAUACUCAGAUUAUUUCACUUACUUAGCUACUAGUGAGUUUUUAGAUACGACUAGGUGAAACACCAGCAUAAAACACCAAUUUUACUACACAAAGUGGACUAAUUAUCUUUGAACUUAGAUACGACUAGGUGAAACACCAAUUUUACUACACAAAGUGGACCAAUUAUCUUUGAAUUUACUCAACUAACAUUUCCAAGUUAGCUUCAAAUGGUUUGUGAUGUCAGAAUUGAGCUAUUGUAAUCACUAAUGAGAAGACGUUAUUUACUUUUAAUACACAACUCAUCUCAACCUUUUUUUUCCAACUGUUAAUACACCUAACCUCGAAGUGGUUUCCUGUUUCAGCUAAUAUUCUGAUGUCAAAUAUUGAACUACACUACAAAACAAAAUGAGAUGAACCACCUCCAGUUUUAACUGUGCACAGUCCAAACUAAAUUAAAACAGUUCGAAUUAUACAAAUCCUCUAUCUAUUGUUCCUAUAACACAAGUUACAAUUAGCCAAAUAAGUGCACAAUCUAUCUAAUUACGAACGACAAAAAAUAAUCCAUGCAUGUAAAUUUGAUGAACAUUUUCAUUUCAAUUCCAGUCAUAGAUUACACUGAUAUGAGUUCAAACUGUGUACCUGGAAGUUGAAAAUAAGAUCAGCAACAAGAAUACUACAGCAGCAAUAUAAGAUCUUAGAAAACCAACACGGCACCAAUUGACCAAAAAUAGGCCCCACUAAACCACACACUCGAUGAAUGAUCCAUAGCCAACUCAGAUAAACCAACACCAAUGUUCAAAUGAUUCCAAACACUUCCAGAUUUGAAGUAUUGAACAGAAACAAAGAACUCAAGCUAUUUUUGGGUUUCAAAAUGGGUUGGAGAGUCGAACUAAAGAUGAGAUUUGAAAAUAACCUAAAGGAAAACAAUCGAACAAUGUUUGUUUUUUGGUUUUUUAUUAUAUUUAUACUAUUUUUGGCAUUAAUUUUUCAGAGCUGAAAACUUGAAAAUGGUCGAAGGCAAUGAAACAUUACUCUAUCAUCUCCCUAAAACUGAAUUCCUCUUCUUCUUUUUAACUCUUUCCAACUCUCAAAAUGCUGUCUCAAAACUGAAAAACUCUCCCUCUUUUCAAUCUCAGAUUCUCUAAAAUGUCCCCCCCCCAUUCAAUGUCUGAGCCCCCUCUAUUUAUAUCCAAACUCAACCCUUUCCAUCCCCUUAAAAUACUUAACCAGAUAGAAAACUAAUUUCCCCAUCCUGAUCUCUGAUUUUCCAACAUGUAAAGACUGCCAGUUCCACUACUAGCUCCCUUUCCCAUUAUUCUAAUUCAAUUAGUGUGGGCAACCUGAAUUCUAAAUUAAUGGUAUGGGCACGCCCAUACUUUAAAUUAAUUCCCACGUUCCUUUGUAAUUGAUCCCUAAAACCCCAUGUUAUUUAUGACCUUUUCAAACUUAGUAAAGCACUCAAAUCACCCAAUAAUCCUAUGUUACUUAAUGCAUCCGAAAGUUCUGGAUAUAAAAAGAAGACAGAAAUGCAAACAAACCAAUACAAAUGCACUUUACAAUUAAGGAAACAUAUGACAAUUGAAUCACAUUGAUUCAUUUGAAAAAUUAAUCGGCUAUAAGAAUUAAAAGAACACUGAAGAAAGAAAACAAUAAAAGAAGAAGAAAAAUGAAUAAAGCUAAAAAAGAAGAAGAAAACUUACCAGAAUCAAUACUCGAACGGUUGAUCUGCAAAGAAAUCCCCUAUUUUUGGACUGAGAUAUACUUUAACCAUGUAUUCUCUACCGAAAAUAUAUGAAGAAAGUCAAUCUCAACUCGAAAUUCAUGAAGCCCGGCUAAUAUGAUUUUUCGUUUACUUGAUCCAAAAUUCGAGAAAUUCUAUGAUGAUUCAACGGAAACUAAGUAGGGAUUUGUGGUGAGGAAGGUUUGGUGGUCGCUUGGUGUCAAUUUGGGGUUAAUUGGAUGAACUAGGGUUCGGGAUCGAUUCUUUGAUCUAAUAUUUGAAGCAUCCUAGGGUGAUUCGAGGGUAUUGGUUAGAGAGUUGGGAUGGGGAGGUCGAGGGGGUUCCAUGGUGUAAUUUUGGGAGGGAUUGGACCACCGAAACCGCCAUGAGUCACUUUUUGAUGGGC
rnacentral:lncRNA from 1 species